UAAUAUAAUGCUCCAUCGUGUAAUUGCGCGUGUAGACAGCAGGUGGCACUGUAGACAAACAAGUCAUGCGCACAUUCUUCUUGGCCGAGUUACUGCAGAAAUGGAAAGGUUGAACGAGUUCAAACAGCUGGAGGAGAAAUUAUGUGCAGAGGGAAGAGAAUAGCCAGCCAUGCGUGCUUAAAGCCAACCAGGAGAAAAGAGAAAGAAAUAUGACUGGAAAAUAUGGCCUAAAAUCAUAUUAAAUUGUGCACUGCAGUCUGACCGCGAGCACCACCACAAACAUCGAAGAAACAGAAACAUCUAGUAGAGAUUGCAUAUUCAGAGGCGCAGAAGUGGAUGUCCAAGAAGCGGUUCCAGGAUGUUGUUACCGGCUGCUCUCCUAUUCCUGCGCUGGGCCAUGCGAGUGUAUGGAUCCUGUCCUGUUGAACAGGUUUAGGUUCUCUCUCCCAGGCACAUGAGUAUCUGUCUAAGGCCCAGUGGACAGUAGUGAAAAGACCAGGCUGCAGUCACACUGUCCUUCAUCAGCUACACAGAACCCUGGUCCGCCUGCAUGCUGCCAUGGGAAAAUACACAUCUGCUCUCCCUCUCUUUGCCAAUGACGUGUACUAUACCAGUGAGAUGUUUGGUUUGGGCAGCACAGAGAUGACUGGAGGUUAUUUCCUUAUGGCUGAUGUGUUUCUGAAGCAGAACAAGCCUGACAUUGCCCAUUCGCUCUGUAGGCAAACCCACCAUCAGCACACAUUGAGACAUCUGUCUCUGUGAAAUAUCUUUCAUUGUAUUGUGUGCGGGUGUACAGGUGGCAAAUUCAUGGCACGCUCACUUGUGUAAGCUGAUGGAUGGGAUCAGUUGGAGCUGCACUCAACCAGAGUGUUUUGGUGAGUGGCAUAAAGACAGUUAACCUCCACAAAUCUGCAAUUUAAUUUUCUGAACACCCCACAGCAUUAAUGACAUAUUUAACUUCCUGAAAAACAUAUUUUCCCACCUCAGGUAUCAAAUCCCUAUUAUUAUUGGUCAUUAUUUUAAGAUAUGGGCACUAUUAAUCUUCAACCCUGUUAUGGACCCUAUGGAGCUUUCUGAAUAUGAUCAUAAAAUGUAUUUGUUAUGAAAUCCACAUUUUCCUGUUAAUCAGAUGUCCUCACACUACCUCAGUAUUUCCAAAUAUAAAAUUACACAAAAUCUCACAGUUUUGAUAUACUAAAGCCUGAAAUUGAAUUUUGUGUGACAUCAACCUCAUAAUGUUUGAUCAAAGAAGUGGGUAAACUUCAGAAGUUGAACUAAAAUCAGUUUUCUUAUAAUUGCAUUGAACAUUUCAGAGUUCAACAAGCAUUAAAUCAUUUUUUCAUAAACUUUUGGUGUGACGGGGUUGAGACUAGGAUAACAGGGUUGAAGAUGGUCAUGGGGUUGAAGAGACAAAUAGAACUUAACAUGUAAAUAGUUGUUUUUUUACUCCAAUUCACUGUAAGAUUUUCUAUAAACGCUGUAUUUCAUUAUGUGACCAAGAAAGACAACAGAUAUAAAUUGCAACUGAACGGCGUUUUAUUAACCCGACUGCAGUUAAACAACAAUAACAGCAUACAUUAGAAGAUAAUAAACUGACUCAAUAGGUCAUGAUAUAUAAAACAUAUAACUUGUGUGGCAUUCAAUAUAUGGCCCACACCUCUUUCAAGAGCUCUACAUAAAAUAAAGAACACAGGCUCUGGUUUUAAACCAACAUACAACAAGCCUGUAUAGUGCAUCCAGAAGGUAUUCACAGCGCUCCACUUUUUCAUAACAACAAUUUGUUAUGUUUCAACCUUGUUCCAAAAUGGAUUUAAUAAUUUUCCACAAAAUUCUUAAAACAAUACCCCAUAAUGUCAAUGUGAAAGAAGUUUGUUUGAAAUCUUUGCUAAUUUAUAAAAAAAAAAAAAAAUCACAUGUACAUAAGUAUUCACAGCCUUUGCCAUGAUACUCCGAAUUGACCUCAGGUGCAUCCUGUUUCAACUGAUCAUCCUUGAGAUGUUUCUACAACUUGUUUCGAGUCGACCUGUGGUCAAUUGAGUUGAUUGGACUUGAUUUGGAAAGGCAAACACCUGUCUAUAGAAGGUCCCACAGGUAACAGUGCAUGUCAGAGCACAAACCAAGCCAUGAAGUCCAAGGCAUUGUCUGUAUACCUCAGAGACAGGAUUGUAUCAAGGUACAAAUCUGAGAGAUGGAGAGAUCUGAAAACUGAUGCACUGACACUACCUUUCCAACUUUGUUCACCUUGUCAUUAUGUGGCAUUGUUUGUUGAAUUUACUGAACACUGAGAUAUGAAAAUCUAGGAAGAACACAAACACACAGCUUUGACAUGGACAUUACUACAUUCAACAUAUGCAUGUGGGAUAAGAUACUUGAUCAAAUAUAAUAAUUAUAAUAAAUAACGGCCCCUGACCUAAAUGUAGUGAAUAACAGGAGAGCACAUGGUAUGCAUGAUAUUAAGAAAUUAUCUAUAUUGUUAAAAUAAAAAAAGGAUAAUUUUCACAAGUAAUCAUUUUCUAUCUUUAUUUGAUGUAAUUAAGAUGUAAUGAGUCAUUAAG